UUCCGCAGCCCCCGAGGGGAGGGGAGAGCAGGGCUCUGCGGGGAUGGAGGACAUAGAAAGACUUCUGCCAUUCUAGCCGUUAGAACAGUAAUCGCGGCCCCAGAGCCUUUCCCCGAAUCUCGUUAGAGCAAUGCCGUUUUGUCGGUUUCUCAUCAAGCUGUACCUGCUACAUUUUUUUUUGGCCGUGGGAUGGCAUCAGGGCCGGCACAUUGCAAGAUCUCCGCACAAACCGGGAGACCCGGCCCCGCGCUGCUCGGGCACUGACCCACUCGUGGAAUGGGAGAGGGAAUAGGCGACAACUAUCAUUUUGACUUCAUGGGGCGGAUGGGACAGCGCUACUUCAAUCCGCUCCUGCGUAAGAGCUCCUUUUCCUCUGGAAGAGGCAGCUCUUAGUUCAACUUGUAGGGUCUUGCUUGAUUAUUUCCAGUGGACGGGAACCUCUCGGCAGCGUCCGUGCGGGGCAGGUUUCAACCUCGGGAAGGAACCGCGAGACUGCAUCAGAAUGCCUUCCCUGUUCAUCUCUGUCCGGACGCCUUUCCGUUUCCCCGGCUCUGACUCCUACCCACCCAUCCCUCCCGGCAGUAGGAAAUUCCCGUUCCACCCGUUUCCGAUCUGGAAUCCCCCCCCCACGUAAAAGUGAACACAGGAAUCGCGUGCGAUCGGUGCUCGCAGCCGGAUGAAAGCCCCUGGACGCUGUCAGCGGCGGCGGCGGCCGGCGGCAGCCCCGCACCGAGGGACGCACCGUGCAGUCCCCGCCGGCCUUUGCCUCCCCUUCUUCGCCCUCCCUGAGCAGCGGGGCCACUCUUCGGCCACAGCAGCGCCGGCAUCAUUCAGCACACAGGUAGCGACUUGAUACACUCCUGACAUGGAAAAAAAUAUGUUGCCUACACCCAAAAGCCCUCAUAUAUCACAGCCCAGUUAAAGGAGAAAGAAGCACAAAUAACGAAUUGAAAAGCUACAUAUAACCUACUGUCCGACGGCCACAGCAUUCAGAGUAAGGAAGUCCCUGGGUUUGGUUUACUUUUUUCUUCAGUGCAGCAAUAUAGUUCUUAAGCGGGUAAAUCACACCCCGGUGUAUUCAGUCACUUCAUUUUUGUUAAUAGGGCUGGCUGUGGGCUUGCAGAAGUUGAGCAAGCAGGAUGCCCACCCUGCUGUGUGUUGUUGGCAAAGUCUGUUUUACUCUUCAUAAAAAUAAAUGCAUUUCAUGCUUCUCACUUGAAUCAAGAACAGCCAUAUUGUAUGCAUUUCAAUUAGUGGGUGUAUUAUUUAUGUUAUAUUUCCUGAAACACGAGUGGCAAUGCUUCUGAUGCUUAUUUUAAUCAGUGUGCCAAUUCUGAUGCAGCCACUGUCCCUUUCUGAAAUUUUUGUUUGCAAAUUUUUUAAAAACCAUAUUUUGUUUCAAAGUAACUGCAGUAAUACAGCACAAAAGAAGCAGUAUCAGAGGAGAUGGGACUACACACAGAUAAACAAAUCUACUUCAAUGGCACCCAGUUUGUAGAGUUUCACCUGAAUAGAAAAAUUAAUUUUUUAAACAAUUUUUUAAAAUAAAACAUACACAGACUUCUGCAACAUAAAUAUAAGGAAUAAAGAAAUCAAAGCCUGCACAGUUAAUCUACAUAAACCAGUAUCAGAAACAAACCUUGGGAGGAGACACACUUUUGUGUAGAACCUAGAGCUGGGACAGUGACUUCGUGGACCACUGUCUGUCCAUCUUUUCCAAUAUUAUUUGCUGAUUGAACAAAAGGUAUUUUCAUACCCCAUGAAUCUUCAAACACUGUGAUGAGUUCUCUGGGAGAAUAUCUGUUUCCCUGAUAUAAGCCAAAUAUUGCUGUACUGGUCAACUGAUGCAGAGCUGAUCAGCGACUUGGGAUAUUCACGUCAACAGAAACACAUCAGUUCUUCUGCAAACUGACCUUCCUAUGCAGAAGAUUGAAUUCGCAACUUGGAUUUAGCACCACAUUUUUAAUUUUUCCCCCCCAUUUUCCUUACCAAAAAAUAAAUAAAUGAAAUAAAAGAUUAUUUUCCCUUC